UGAAUGAAAGCGCACAGCGAACCUC
rnacentral:piRNA from 1 species